rnacentral:rRNA from 1 species
GGGUUGUGAGGUUAAGCGACUAAGCGUACACGGUGGAUGCCCUGGCAGUCAGAGGCGAUGAAGGACGUGCUAAUCUGCGAUAAGCGUCGGUAAGGUGAUAUGAACCGUUAUAACCGGCGAUUUCCGAAUGGGGAAACCCAGUGUGAUUCGUCACACUAUCAUUAACUGAAUCCAUAGGUUAAUGAGGCGAACCGGGGGAACUGAAACAUCUAAGUACCCCGAGGAAAAGAAAUCAACCGAGAUUCCCCCAGUAGCGGCGAGCGAACGGGGAGGAGCCCAGAGCCUGAAUCAGUGUGUGUGUUAGUGGAAGCGUCUGGAAAGGCGCGCGAUACAGGGUGACAGCCCCGUACACAAAAAUGCACAUACUGUGAGCUCGAUGAGUAGGGCGGGACACGUGGUAUCCUGUCUGAAUAUGGGGGGACCAUCCUCCAAGGCUAAAUACUCCUGACUGACCGAUAGUGAACCAGUACCGUGAGGGAAAGGCGAAAAGAACCCCGGCGAGGGGAGUGAAAAAGAACCUGAAACCGUGUACGUACAAGCAGUGGGAGCCUCUUUUAUGGGGUGACUGCGUACCUUUUGUAUAAUGGGUCAGCGACUUAUAUUCUGUAGCAAGGUUAACCGAAUAGGGGAGCCGAAGGGAAACCGAGUCUUAACUGGGCGUUAAGUUGCAGGGUAUAGACCCGAAACCCGGUGAUCUAGCCAUGGGCAGGUUGAAGGUUGGGUAACACUAACUGGAGGACCGAACCGACUAAUGUUGAAAAAUUAGCGGAUGACUUGUGGCUGGGGGUGAAAGGCCAAUCAAACCGGGAGAUAGCUGGUUCUCCCCGAAAGCUAUUUAGGUAGCGCCUCGUGAAUUCAUCUCCGGGGGUAGAGCACUGUUUCGGCAAGGGGGUCAUCCCGACUUACCAACCCGAUGCAAACUGCGAAUACCGGAGAAUGUUAUCACGGGAGACACACGGCGGGUGCUAACGUCCGUCGUGAAGAGGGAAACAACCCAGACCGCCAGCUAAGGUCCCAAAGUCAUGGUUAAGUGGGAAACGAUGUGGGAAGGCCCAGACAGCCAGGAUGUUGGCUUAGAAGCAGCCAUCAUUUAAAGAAAGCGUAAUAGCUCACUGGUCGAGUCGGCCUGCGCGGAAGAUGUAACGGGGCUAAACCAUGCACCGAAGCUGCGGCAGCGACACUAUGUGUUGUUGGGUAGGGGAGCGUUCUGUAAGCCUGUGAAGGUGUGCUGUGAGGCAUGCUGGAGGUAUCAGAAGUGCGAAUGCUGACAUAAGUAACGAUAAAGCGGGUGAAAAGCCCGCUCGCCGGAAGACCAAGGGUUCCUGUCCAACGUUAAUCGGGGCAGGGUGAGUCGACCCCUAAGGCGAGGCCGAAAGGCGUAGUCGAUGGGAAACAGGUUAAUAUUCCUGUACUUGGUGUUACUGCGAAGGGGGGACGGAGAAGGCUAUGUUGGCCGGGCGACGGUUGUCCCGGUUUAAGCGUGUAGGCUGGUUUUCCAGGCAAAUCCGGAAAAUCAAGGCUGAGGCGUGAUGACGAGGCACUACGGUGCUGAAGCAACAAAUGCCCUGCUUCCAGGAAAAGCCUCUAAGCAUCAGGUAACAUCAAAUCGUACCCCAAACCGACACAGGUGGUCAGGUAGAGAAUACCAAGGCGCUUGAGAGAACUCGGGUGAAGGAACUAGGCAAAAUGGUGCCGUAACUUCGGGAGAAGGCACGCUGAUAUGUAGGUGAAGCGACUUGCUCGUGGAGCUGAAAUCAGUCGAAGAUACCAGCUGGCUGCAACUGUUUAUUAAAAACACAGCACUGUGCAAACACGAAAGUGGACGUAUACGGUGUGACGCCUGCCCGGUGCCGGAAGGUUAAUUGAUGGGGUCAGCGCAAGCGAAGCUCUUGAUCGAAGCCCCGGUAAACGGCGGCCGUAACUAUAACGGUCCUAAGGUAGCGAAAUUCCUUGUCGGGUAAGUUCCGACCUGCACGAAUGGCGUAAUGAUGGCCAGGCUGUCUCCACCCGAGACUCAGUGAAAUUGAACUCGCUGUGAAGAUGCAGUGUACCCGCGGCAAGACGGAAAGACCCCGUGAACCUUUACUAUAGCUUGACACUGAACAUUGAGCCUUGAUGUGUAGGAUAGGUGGGAGGCUUAGAAGUGUGGACGCCAGUCUGCAUGGAGCCGACCUUGAAAUACCACCCUUUAAUGUUUGAUGUUCUAACGUUGACCCGUGAUCCGGGUUGCGGACAGUGUCUGGUGGGUAGUUUGACUGGGGCGGUCUCCUCCUAAAGAGUAACGGAGGAGCACGAAGGUUGGCUAAUCCUGGUCGGACAUCAGGAGGUUAGUGCAAUGGCAUAAGCCAGCUUGACUGCGAGCGUGACGGCGCGAGCAGGUGCGAAAGCAGGUCAUAGUGAUCCGGUGGUUCUGAAUGGAAGGGCCAUCGCUCAACGGAUAAAAGGUACUCCGGGGAUAACAGGCUGAUACCGCCCAAGAGUUCAUAUCGACGGCGGUGUUUGGCACCUCGAUGUCGGCUCAUCACAUCCUGGGGCUGAAGUAGGUCCCAAGGGUAUGGCUGUUCGCCAUUUAAAGUGGUACGCGAGCUGGGUUUAGAACGUCGUGAGACAGUUCGGUCCCUAUCUGCCGUGGGCGCUGGAGAACUGAGGGGGGCUGCUCCUAGUACGAGAGGACCGGAGUGGACGCAUCACUGGUGUUCGGGUUGUCAUGCCAAUGGCACUGCCCGGUAGCUAAAUGCGGAAGAGAUAAGUGCUGAAAGCAUCUAAGCACGAAACUUGCCCCGAGAUGAGUUCUCCCUGACUCCUUGAGAGUCCUGAAGGAACGUUGAAGACGACGACGUUGAUAGGCCGGGUGUGUAAGCGCAGCGAUGCGUUGAGCUAACCGGUACUAAUGAACCGUGAGGCUUAACCUUACAACGCCGAAGCUGUU